rnacentral:rRNA from 1 species
AUUGAACGCUGGAGGCAGGCCUAACACAUGCAAGUCGAGCGGAGCGGCGGACGGGUGAUUAAUGCCUAGGAAUCUGCCUGGUAGUGGGGGAUAAAGUUCGGAAACGGGCGCUAAUACCGCAUACUAUCAGAUGAGCCUAGGUCGGAUUAGCUAGUUGGUGGGGUAACGGCCUACCAAGGCAACGAUCCGUAACUGGUCUGAGAGGAUGAUCAGUCACACUGGAACUGAGACACGGGCCAGACGCCUACGGUAGGCAGCAGUGGGGAAUAUUGGACAAUGGGCGAAAGCCUGAUCCAGCCAUGCCGCGUGUGUGAAGAAGGUCUUCGGAUUGUAAAGCACUUGAAGUUGGGAGGCGUUACCAACAGAAUAAGCACCGGCUAACUCCGUGCCAGCAGCCGCGGUAAUAC